rnacentral:rRNA from 1 species
UACGAAGGGGGCUAGCGUUGCUCGGAAUCACUGGGCGUAAAGGGUGCGUAGGCGGGUCUUUAAGUCAGGGGUGAAAUCCUGGAGCUCAACUCCAGAACUGCCUUUGAUACUGAAGAUCUUGAGUUCGGGAGAGGUGAGUGGAACUGCGAGUGUAGAGGUGAAAUUCGUAGAUAUUCGUCAAGAACACCAGUGGCGAAGGCGGACUCACUGGCCCG